UACGGAGGGUGCAAGCGUUGUUCGGAAUUAUUGGGCGUAAAGCGCGUGUAGGCGGUUGUAUAAGUCAGAUGUGAAAUCCUCCCGCUUAACGGGAGAAGUGCAUUUGAAACUAUACAACUGGAGUACGGGAGAGGAGAGUGGAAUUCCCGGUGUAGAGGUGAAAUUCGUAGAUAUCGGGAGGAACACCAGUGGCGAAGGCGGCUCUCUGGCCCGAUACUGACGCUGAGACGCGAAAGCGUGGGGAG
rnacentral:rRNA from 1 species